GCGGAGGUUUGAGCGGCGACUACGGUUUUCCAAGUCAUCGACUUUAUCCAACAGGUUUUUACAGGUUUUUAUCGAUCUGACACGUGGUCUGCUGGUCUAUAAAACAUGCAUCAGCAGACAGAGAGAUGACAAACAGAGCAUCAAGACUAAAGGUAAGACUUGAACAACUAAUCUUCUACUUGUGCUCACUGGAGUUUUUCCAUUGUACCUUCUCAUUGUUUAUGUUAUUACUGGCUAACAAUCCCAUUUAAAGUUAUCUGAUUUAUUUACUGUUACUACAAUGUUACACAUUAUGUGUAUUAUUACAACUACUGUACUAAUACUAAUGCUGCCACUCUGUUAUUACAAUGUUACACAUUAUGUGUAUUAUUACAACUACUGUACUAAUACUAAUGCUGCCACUCUGUUAUUACAACUAGCAUGUUUUAACAGUUUAUUAUAUGGUGUCACUUUUCAUACAUUGAUCUUUUAUAAUAUUCCAGCUUUGAUUAAAUGUUUGGUUUUCAC